CUACGGGCGGCACCAGUUAUGAAUCUUUUACAAUGCACGAAAGUGUGAUAAAGUGAACCAAAGUGAUUUUCUUUUUGAAAAUCUUUUCUCUGCUUUAAAACGGCAGGGGAAUAAGGACUGGGUAAGACAGGUGCCAGCCGCCGCGGUAAUACCUGCGGUCCAAGUUGCAACCAAUUUUAUUGGGUCUAAAACAUCCGUAGCUUGUCUGAUAAGUUCUUUGUGAAAUUUCGCAUCUCAAAUGCGAAGCGUGCAGGGAAUACUAUCAGACUAGAGACCGGUAGAUGUAAGGAGUACGGCCGAGGUAACGGUUAAAUGUGUUAAUCUCGGUUGGACUAACAAUUGGCGAAGGCACCUUACAAGGACGGAUCUGACAGUGAGGGAUGAAGGCCAGGGGCGCAAAACGGAUUAGAUACCCCGGUAGUC
rnacentral:rRNA from 1 species